rnacentral:rRNA from 1 species
UACACUCCUACGGGAGGCAGCAGUGGGGAAUUUUGGACAAUGGGCGAAAGCCUGAUCCAGCAAUGCCGCGUGAGUGAAGAAGGCCUUCGGGUUGUAAAGCUCUUUUGUCAGGGAAGAAACGGUGAAAGCUAAUAUCUUUUGCUAAUGACGGUACCUGAAGAAUAAGCACCGGCUAACUCCGUGCCAGCAGCCGCGGUAAUACGUAGGGUGCAAGCGUUAAUCGGAAUUACUGGGCGUAAAGCGUGCGCAGGCGGUUUUGUAAGUCUGAUGUGAAAUCCCCGGGCUCAACCUGGGAAUUGAAUUGGAGACUGCAAGGCUAGAAUCUGGCAGAGGGGGGUAGAAUUCCACGUGUAGCAGUGAAAUGCGUAGAUAUGUGGAGGAACACCGAUGGCGAAGGCAGCCCCCUGGGUCAAGAUUGACGCUCAUGCACGAAAGCGUGGGGAGCAAACAGGAUUAGAAACCCCGGUAGUCCC